rnacentral:rRNA from 1 species
CCCGUGAUCCGGGUUGCGGACAGUGUCUGGUGGGUAGUUUGACUGGGGCGGUCUCCUCCUAAAGAGUAACGGAGGAGCACGAAGGUUGGCUAAUCCUGGUCGGACAUCAGGAGGUUAGUGCAAUGGCAUAAGCCAGCUUGACUGCGAGCGUGACGGCGCGAGCAGGUGCGAAAGCAGGUCAUAGUGAUCCGGUGGUUCUGAAUGGAAGGGCCAUCGCUCAACGGAUAAAAGGUACUCCGGGGAUAACAGGCUGAUACCGCCCAAGAGUUCAUAUCGACGGCGGUGUUUGGCACCUCGAUGUCGGCUCAUCACAUCCUGGGGCUGAAGUAGGUCCCAAGGGUAUGGCUGUUCGCCAUUUAAAGUGGUACGCGAGCUGGGUUUAGAACGUCGUGAGACAGUUCGGUCCCUAUCUGCCGUGGGCGCUGGAGAACUGAGGGGGGCUGCUCCUAGUACGAGAGGACCGGAGUGGACGCAUCACUGGUGUUCGGGUUGUCAUGCCAAUGGCACUGCCCGGUAGCUAAAUGCGGAAGAGAUAAGUGCUGAAAGCAUCUAAGCACGAAACUUGCCCCG